GUCCUUGUCGUUACGGAUCGGUUGAAAGAUGGUGGGACCUCAUUUCUUGGCCACUUUAAUUGGUUCAUGCUUUGCGAUCUUGCUGAGAGCACGUUCAACAGGUCUAUCAUGGGUUGGUUUGGGGUAGGUGGAUGCAUUUGGGAGCUGGUUAUGCGAGUGAUGGGAGUGUGUUCCGUGCAUGUCCAUCUGUAUCCUUCUCCAGAUACCCUCAAUGGUUUUUGGUGAUACCCGUGCCGACGUCCUAUGGUGAGAAGGUAUUGAUGUUCUUUUUCUCUAUCCAUCCGCCUGGUGGUGUGGGUGAGGACUCUAGAGAUUGGACUCGUAAGGGCGGCCAGCUUGUGUGGCAUGGGAUCCCUGGAUCAUGCCGGAGUGGGCACAG
rnacentral:lncRNA from 1 species